rnacentral:rRNA from 1 species
UACGGAAGGCAGCAGGGGGAAUAUUGCACAAUGGGCGAAAGCCUGAUGCAGCUAUGCCGCGUGUAUGAAGAAGGCCUUAGGGUUGUAAAGUACUUUCAUCGGGGAGGAAAAAACAAAACUAAUAAUUUUAUUUCUUGACGUUACCCGAAAAAGAAGCACCGGCUAACUCCGUGCCAGCAGCCGCGGUAAUACGGAGGGUGCUAGCGUUAAUCAGAAUUACUGGGCGUAAAGAGCACGUAGGUGGUUUUUUUAAGUCAGAUGUGAAAUCCCUGGGCUUUAACCUAGGAACUGCAUUUUGAAACUGAAAUACUAGAGUAUCGUAGAGGGAGGUAGAAUUCUAGGUGUAGCGGUGAAAUGCGUAGAUAUCUGGAGGAAUACCUGUGGCGAAAGCGGCCUCCUAAACGAAUACUGACACUGAGGUGCGAAAGCGUGGGGAGCAAACAGGGAUUAGAUA